rnacentral:ncRNA from 1 species
GAGUUAGUCGGUCCUAAGUUCAAGGCGAAAGCCGAAAAUUUUCAAGUUUUAAAAAUGUCAAAUGAAAUAAUAAAUAAUAAAACACUUGAAUAAUUUUGAACGAAAGGGAAUACGGUUCCAAUUCCGUAACCUGUUGAGUAUCCGUUUGUUAUUAAAUAUGGGCCUCGUGCUCAUCCUGGCAACAGGAACGACCAUAAAGAAGCCGUCGAGAGGUAUCGGAAGAGUUUUCUUUUCUGUUUUAUAGCCGUACUACCAUGGAAGUCUUUCGCAGAGAGAUAUGGUAGAUGGGCUAGAAGAGCAUGACAUAUACUGUUGUGUCGAUAUUUUCUCCUCGGACCUUGAAAAUUUAUGGUGGGGAUACGCAAACUUCUCAACAGGCCGUACCAAUAUCCGCAGCUGGUCUCCAAGGUGAAGAGUCUCUAGUCGAUAGAAUAAUGUAGGUAAGGGAAGUCGGCAAAUUAGAUCCGUAACUUCGGGAUAAGGAUUGGCUCUGAAGAUUGAGAUAGUCGGGCUUGAUUGGGAAACAAUAACAUGGUUUAUGUGCUCGUUCUGGGUAAAUAGAGUUUCUAUCAUUUAUGAUAGUUAUUUGUUCCCCGGAUAGUUAGUUACGUAGCCAAUUGUGGAACUUUCUUGCUAAAAUUUUUAAGAAUACUAAUUUUUAAUUAGUUCUUUUAAAUUAUAACGAUUAUCAAUUAACAAUCAAUUCAGAACUGGCACGGACUUGGGGAAUCCGACUGUCUAAUUAAAACAAAGCAUUGUGAUGGCCCUAGCGGGUGUUGACACAAUGUGAUUUCUGCCCAGUGCUCUGAAUGUCAAAGUGAAGAAAUUCAAGUAAGCGCGGGUCAACGGCGGGAGUAACUAUGACUCUCUUAAGGUCUUAAGCUCUUUCAUUGACGACGAAUUGCAAAGGGCUCGAGAUAGAUUAAAGGCGGAAAAUGUGCAGCUGUGUUCGCGUCCAGAGAUUGACUCGUAUUUCGCAAAUAGAUUGUACAUGUCUGUUGAUGGUUGCGGUCUCCGUGAAGCAGGUCAUUAUGGCCCGCAACAUGGAUGGGUGAGUCAGCCCACGCGCUUGCUAACAGGAAAGGAAUAUUUGCACGGUGUCAAAUUGCGGAUAAAUGCCCUCCCCUCGAAGUCUCGUACGACGAGGGGAAGGCACGAAUUGGAGAGACGGUGUCGUGCAGGAUGUGAUGCUCCCGAGACAACAAACCACAUCUUGCAAAAAUGCUAUCGUACGCAUGGGAGGCGGGUAGCUAGACACAACAGCGUAGUAAAUGCCGUCAAGCGGGGACUUGAACGGAAAGGCUGCGUUGUCCAUGUCGAACCAAGUCUGCAAUGCGACUCGGGCUUAAAUAAACCGGACCUGGUGGGAAUCCGACAGAUCACAUUUAUGUGAUAGACGUUCAGGUGUGACAGACGGACAUUCCUUAGACCAAG